CUUGCACAGGGUGAAAGCUUUGCUUCUCUGCUGCUGUAACAGGGACUAGCACAGACACACGGAUGAGUGGGGUCAUUUCCAGAUAUUAGGUCACAGCAGAAGCAGCCAAAAUGGAUCCCCAGUGGAAGGGAAACACACAGCGGAAAAGCGGUGUGAAGACACAGGGCGAAGACGGCCAUCCACAUACAAGCCAGAGAGAAAGGCUCGCAACAGAUUCUUUCCUCACAACCUUCAGAAAGAACCAACCCUGUGGAAACCCU
rnacentral:lncRNA from 1 species